rnacentral:piRNA from 1 species
UCCUAAUAGGACAAAUGGCCGUGCACAUC